rnacentral:rRNA from 1 species
UACGGAGGGUGCAAGCGUUAUCCGGAUUUACUGGGUUUAAAGGGUGCGUAGGUGGGUCUGUAAGUCAGUGGUGAAAUCUCCGAGCUUAACUCGGAAACUGCCAUUGAUACUAUAGGUCUUGAAUUAUCUGGAGGUGAGCGGAAUAUGUCAUGUAGCGGUGAAAUGCUUAGAUAUGACAUAGAACACCAAUUGCGAAGGCAGCCCGCUACACGGUUAUUGACACUGAGGCACGAAAGCGUGGGGAUCAAACAGG